rnacentral:rRNA from 1 species
CGAUAACGAACGAGACCUUAACCUGCUAAAUAGCCAGGCCGGCUUUUGCUGGUCGCCGGCUUCUUAGAGGGACUGUCAGCGUCUAGCUGACGGAAGUUUGAGGCAAUAACAGGUCUGUGAUGCCCUUAGAUGUUCUGGGCCGCACGCGCGCUACACUGACAGAGCCAACGAGUUCAUUUCCUUAGCCGAAAGGCUUGGGUAAUCUUGUUAAACUUUGUCGUGCUGGGGAUGGAGCUUUGUAAUUUUUGCUCUUCAACGAGGAAUUCCUAGUAAGCGCAAGCCAUCAGCUUGCGUUGACUACGUCCCUGCCCUUUGUACACACCGCCCGUCGCUACUACCGGAUUGAAUGGC